rnacentral:rRNA from 1 species
UACGUAGGGUGCAAGCGUUAUCCGGAAUUAUUGGGCGUAAAGAGCUCGUAGGCGGUUUGUCGCGUCUGCUGUGAAAACUGGAGGCUCAACCUCCAGCCUGCAGUGGGUACGGGCAGACUAGAGUGUGGUAGGGGAGACUGGAAUUCCUGGUGUAGCGGUGAAAUGCGCAGAUAUCAGGAGGAACACCGAUGGCGAAGGCAGGUCUCUGGGCCAUAACUGACGCUGAGAAGCGAAAGCAUGGGGAGCGAACAGG